CCCUGGUUAGCUCAGUUGGUACAGCGCUCCACUUGUAAUGGAGAGGUCCCGGGUUCGAUACCCGGACCAGGCG
rfam:Ixodes scapularis strain Wikel colony gcontig_1107728842632, whole genome shotgun sequence.